AGCCUACGAUGGAGGUUCACGACGUCGACUAGGGAUUCACGAUCGCACAGUCAGCUGCCUAAGGUCCGGUUGGCCAGUCGUAGCCAGCUAAAGUUCUUCUCAAGGUAGACGGGUGUAGCAGCCAGGUACCACGAUGGCGGACGAUGAGAGGAAACGUCUCGAGGAUGAAAAGAAGAGGAAACAGGCGGAGACGGAUCGAAAGAGGGCGGAGGUCCGCGCCCGCCUUGAAGAGGCUUCCAAAGCCAAGAAGGCGAAGAAGGGUUUCAUGACCCCUGACAGGAAGAAGAAGCUUAGGCUGUUGCUGCGAAAGAAAGCCGCGGAGGAAUUGAAAAAGGAGCAAGAGAGAAAGGCAGCCGAGAGAAGGCGCAUUAUCGAGGAACGUUGUGGAAAGCCGAAGAACGUGGACGACGCUAGCGAAGAAACCGUGAAGCGCGUGCUGCGUGAAUACCACAAUAGGAUCACAGCAUUGGAGGAUCAAAAAUUCGACCUCGAAUAUGUUGUGAAGAAGAAGGACUACGAGAUCGCGGACUUGAACAGCCAGGUGAACGACCUUCGAGGUAAAUUCAUGAAACCCACGCUGAAGAAAGUCUCCAAGUACGAAAACAAGUUCGCCAAACUGCAGAAGAAGGCGGCCGAGUUUAACUUCCGUAACCAGCUUAAACAGGUUAAGAAGAAGGAAUUCACCCUCGAGGAAGAGGACAAGGAGCCCAAGAAGUCCGAGAAGGCAGAGUGGCAGACGAAGAAGUAGAUUUAAAAAAACAUAAAGAAAACAUGAAAAAAAAAAGAACAAUCACACGCGUAUACAGGCAAUCAAAAGAAACCCGACUGGUCGAAGAAAGGCGACGAAAAGAAGGUAAAGGAAGAAGAGGUGGAGGCAUGAGGCUAUUGACACGCGCUCUCGACGUUUUCGAGAAGGGAUCGUCCAUCCAUCCAUCCGAUAACAUAACUCGACGCAACAAACCUCCUCGUUAUUGCUUCUAUUAUUCUGUCUUUAUUUUUCUUUUUCUGUUUUCGUCAUCGUCUCGAUUAACUUAACGUCUAAGAAAGAAAACUCCCGAAAUGCACGCAAAAGAGAAAACACGUUGUUUAUAUGUUUCGUCUACGAUGAUUGCUCGAUGUAUUAUCGAGAAUCUAUCGAAUAUCUUUCGUGUCCGAGUUCUAAUCCAUAGUACAGAAUUUUGUGACUGACCAGUUUUUAUCUUUCUCUUCGUCUACAAGAUAUGUAUAUGUAUAUUUUUUUAAAAGAAACAGAAACCCUGUACCGUUCACGUUUCCGUCUGUCAAUGUUCUUUUUUUUACACGCUAAUCCUACUGUACAUGUUGAUGCAAUUCUCUGUGAACCGGAUAAAGGGAGAAAUGAAACGUAAUGGAAUAGCAAGAAAGAAAGGGAAUCGUUAAUUAAGAUUUUAAUUGUAAAGCAAAAUAUUUAACGACAAUGAAAUACA